rnacentral:rRNA from 1 species
GAUGAACGCUAGCGGCAGGCUUAAUACAUGCAAGUCGUGGGGCAGCAUGAGUAGCAAUACUUGAUGGCGACCGGCAAACGGGUGCGGAACACGUACACAACCUUCCGAUAAGUGGGGAAUAGCCCAGAGACAUUUGGAUUAAUACUCCGUAACAUAUAGAGCCGUCAUCCUCUUUAUAUUAUAGCAUCGGCGCUUAUUGAUGGGUGUGCGUCUGAUUAGGUAGUUGGCGGGGUAACGGCCCACCAAGCAUACGAUCAGUAGCUGAUGUGAGAGCAUGAUCAGCCACACGGGCACUGAGACACGGGCCCGACUCCUACGGGAGGCAGCAGUAAGGAAUAUUGGACAAUGGGCGAAAGCCUGAUCCAGCCAUGCCGCGUGAAGGAUUAAGGUCCUCUGGAUUGUAAACUUCUUUUAUUUGGGACGAAAAAAGGGAAUUCUUUCCCACUUGACGGUACCAAGUGAAUAAGCACCGGCUAACUCCGUGCCAGCCGCCGCGGUAA